CUGUGAAAAGGACAUGUGGUUCCCCAGGAUUACCCUGUAGAUCCGGACUUGUGGUCACUUCAUCACACAAAUCCGAUUUACAGGAUAGGCCUUGGCAACACCAACCAACGUUACCAUCA
rnacentral:precursor_RNA from 16 species